rnacentral:rRNA from 1 species
AUUGAACGCUGGCGGCAGGCCUAACACAUGCAAGUCGAGCGGAAACGACACCUUCGGGUGGGCGUCGAGCGGCGGACGGGUGAGUAACGCGUAGGAAUCUGCCCAACGGUGGGGGAUAACCCGGGGAAACUCGGGCUAAUACCGCAUAAUCCUUACGAGGCAAAGCGGAGGACCCUUCGGGGCUUCGCGCCGAUGGAUGAGCCUACGUCUGAUUAGCUUGUUGGUGGGGUAAUGGCCUACCAAGGCGACGAUCAGUAGCUGGUCUGAGAGGAUGAUCAGCCACACCGGGACUGAGACACGGCCCGGACUCCUACGGGAGGCAGCAGUGGGGAAUCUUGGACAAUGGGGGAAACCCUGAUCCAGCCAUGCCGCGUGUGUGAAGAAGGCCCUAGGGUUGUAAAGCACUUUAAGCAGGGAAGAAAAGCGCCGGGUUAAUACCCCGAGCGUCUUGACGGUACCUGCAGAAUAAGCACCGGCUAAUUCCGUGCCAGCAGCCGCGGUAAUACGGAAGGUGCAAGCGUUAAUCAGAAUUACUGGGCGUAAAGCGUGCGUAGGCGGCCGCGUGUGUCGGAUGUGAAAGCCCCGGGCUCAACCUGGGAAUUGCAUUCGAAACUGCGUGGCUAGAGUGUGGUAGAGAAGACGGAAUUCCACGUGUAGCGGUGAAAUGCGUAAAUAUGUGAGAAACCGAUGGCGAAGGCAGUCUUCUGGGCCAACACUGACCCUGAGGCACGAAAGCGUGGGGAGCAAACAGGAUUAGAUUCCCUGGUAGUCACGCCGUAAACGAUGAGAACUAGACGUUGGCCUGCAUAGCGGGUCAGUUUCGCAGCUAACGCGUUAAGUUCUCCGCCUGGGGAGUACGGCCGCAAGGUUGAAACUCAAAGGAAUUGACGGGGGCCCGCACAAGCGGUGGAGCAUGUGGUUUAAUUCGAUGCAACGCGAAGAACCUUACCUGCCCUUGACAUCUCGUCGCGGCCCUGGAGACAGGGCUUUCAGUUCGGCUGGACGAUGACAGGUGCUGCAUGGCUGUCGUCAGCUCGUGUCGUGAGAUGUUGGGUUAAGUCCCGCAACGAGCGCAACCCCUAUCCUUAGUUGCCAGCAUUAAGUUGGGCACUCUAAGGAGACUGCCGGUGACAAACCGGAGGAAGGUGGGGAUGACGUCAAGUCAUCAUGGCCCUUAUGGGCAGGGCUACACACGUGCUACAAUGGCCGGUACAAAGGGUUGCCAACCCGCGAGGGGGAGCUAAUCCCGGAAAGCCGGUCCCAGUCCGGAUUGCAGUCUGCAACUCGACUGCAUGAAGUCGGAAUCGCUAGUAAUCGUGGGUCAGCAAUGCCACGGUGAAUACGUCCCCGGGCCUUGUACACACCGCCCGUCACACCAUGGAAGUCGGCUGCACCAGAAGUCGGUAGCCUAACCCUUCGGGGAGGGCGCCGCCCACGGUGUGGUCGAUGACUGGGGUG